ensembl:snRNA U6 U6 spliceosomal RNA
GUGCUCGCUUCAGCAGCCCACACACUAAAAUUGGAACGAUACAGAGAAGAUUAGCACGGCCACUGCACAAGGGUGACACACAAAUUUGUGAAGCUUUCCAUAUUUUU